AGAGUCCACACAGCAAAGUAGGCCACUUUAGUGCGAGAUCUCCUGCGGCAGGCUAGCUAUUCUGUAAUAAUAGUUACCGCUGCAGUUAUUUUGCGGCAACUUGUUAGUGCUUUCCACCCAGGGCGAGAGUUUUGCUUCUGACAUCGGGGUCUUAGCUAGAAAAACGACGACCUCAGCCUCGUUUAUAAAGCCGUGCAUGCACGUUCAUAAAAUAAAGUACGUGUUGCUAUACUUUUACAACAG